CUCAAGAUGAGAUUUCCCAUCUUCGGUUAUAAGAUCCCUCAAAUAUGAUUAUGUUAAUAGGUUCGAUAUGGAAUCAUGAUGACAUGUUGAGCUGACGAAUACUAAUCGAUCGAAGACUUAAUCAAAA
rnacentral:rRNA from 1 species